rnacentral:lncRNA from 1 species
AUAAUGUCCUCAUUCGAUAGUUUCUACACCAUCUCUGUUCUGACCAAUUUCCGUUAUGACUAAAUUGCCCCCACAUGUCCACCCAGCACUUUUCUCCUUCUACAGCUAAUGGAGAAUUACAGUUCAUUGAAACAAAGUUUUUAGUGAUGAAGCCUGGAGUACUUCACACUUUAACCUGCUUAAAUCCCUUCGAUGAGGUAAAGUAUGAAACGGGCACACGAAAUAUAUAUUUAUUACAAGUUUAUCUUAUCCUUUAGAUCUCGUAAAAUACCUUUUUUUUUGUUUUUUGUUUUUUUUGUAUAUCUGUAUUAAUAAACACUCUUUAUUCGUUGUGGUUUAAUUUAAAAAAGGAAAAACAUAGGCUAAGAUUUGGUGAACUCAAUUGUUAUUGCAAGAAGUGCAAAGAAAGCAAAGGGUAUUUCAGUAAGUGCAGCAUCGAAUUAAAUUCCCUUGAUCUACUGUUCCAUUUUAUGGUUGUAUAAUAAUGCAAGUGUAGAAAUAUUUCAAGUAUGAUUAAGGUCAAAUAAUUGAAGAUCCCAAAGUCUUGUGAUGCAAAAGAGAAGAAGAACCAAAUAAAAUGUCAAGAUUUGAGGAUGGAUUAUGUGUAUUGAUACAUGUAAUGUUGAGGAAGAGCAUCAACAUAUAUAACGAGUUUUCGUUCGUGCUCGUGGACUUGGUUUCCGUACUAAACUCAAUGUUUCAAUUUUCGAGCAUGUUUUUGCAGAGAUCGAAUACAGUUCCGAGCCAGUACUCACCUAUGUCUUCGGUGUUUGGUCGCCAUGACCGGUAACUCUUGUUGCUAAACAUGGUCAGAAAAAAAGUGGUUCAAACCCCAAAUUUAUCAGUAAGAAGAAAAAUUUGUUUCUUGUUGUGUUUCCAUGACACGGUGAAUGCUGUAAAUCAAGAUCUAUAGCUGGUAUACAGAAUAUAUCAUGAUUGGAUGAAUAGUUUUGUUAAUUUUGUUUCACAGUUAAGAUAUUCUGUUCUUUCAUGUAUGAAGAUUACUUCUUUG